GAUGAACGCUAGCUACAGGCUUAACACAUGCAAGUCGAGGGGCAGCAUGGUCUUAGCUUGCUAAGGCCGAUGGCGACCGGCGCACGGGUGAGUAACACGUAUCCAACCUGCCGUCUACUCUUGGACAGCCUUCUGAAAGGAAGAUUAAUACAAGAUGGCAUCAUGAGUCCGCAUGUUCACAUGAUUAAAGGUAUUCCGGUAGACGAUGGGGAUGCGUUCCAUUAGAUAGUAGGCGGGGUAACGGCCCACCUAGUCUUCGAUGGAUAGGGGUUCUGAGAGGAAGGUCCCCCACAUUGGAACUGAGACACGGUCCAAACUCCUACGGGAGGCAGCAGUGAGGAAUAUUGGUCAAUGGGCGAGAGCCUGAACCAGCCAAGUAGCGUGAAGGAUGACUGCCAUAUGGGUUGUAAACUUCUUUUAUAAAGGAAUAAAGUCGGGUAUGGAUACCCGUUUGCAUGUACUUUAUGAAUAAGGAUCGGCUAACUCCGUG
rnacentral:rRNA from 1 species